AGAGUUUGAUCCUGGCUCAGGAUGAACGCUAGCGGCAGGCUUAACACAUGCAAGUCGAGGGGCAGCAUAAUGGAUAGCAAUAUCUAUGGUGGCGACCGGCGCACGGGUGCGUAACGCGUAUGCAACCUACCUUUAACAGGGGGAUAACACUGAGAAAUUGGUACUAAUACCCCAUAAUAUCAUAGAAGGCAUCUUUUAUGGUUGAAAAUUCCGAUGGUUAGAGAUGGGCAUGCGUUGUAUUAGCUAGUUGGUGGGGUAACGGCUCACCAAGGCGACGAUACAUAGGGGGACUGAGAGGUUAACCCCCCACACUGGUACUGAGACACGGACCAGACUCCUACGGGAGGCAGCAGUGAGGAAUAUUGGUCAAUGGACGCAAGUCUGAACCAGCCAUGCCGCGUGCAGGAAGACGGCUCUAUGAGUUGUAAACUGCUUUUGUACGAGGGUAAACGCAGAUACGUGUAUCUGUCUGAAAGUAUCGUACGAAUAAGGAUCGGCUAACUCCGUGCCAGCAGCCGCGGUAAUACGGAGGAUCCAAGCGUUAUCCGGAUUUAUUGGGUUUAAAGGGUGCGUAGGCGGUUUGAUAAGUUAGAGGUGAAAUACCGGGGCUCAACUCCGGAACUGCCUCUAAUACUGUUGAACUAGAGAGUAGUUGCGGUAGGCGGAAUGUAUGGUGUAGCGGUGAAAUGCUUAGAGAUCAUACAGAACACCGAUUGCGAAGGCAGCUUACCAAACUAUAUCUGACGUUGAGGCACGAAAGCGUGGGGAGCAAACAGGAUUAGAUACCCUGGUAGUCCACGCAGUAAACGAUGAUAACUCGUUGUCGGCGAUACACAGUCGGUGACUAAGCGAAAGCGAUAAGUUAUCCACCUGGGGAGUACGUUCGCAAGAAUGAAACUCAAAGGAAUUGACGGGGGCCCGCACAAGCGGAGGAACAUGUG
rnacentral:rRNA from 1 species